rnacentral:rRNA from 1 species
UGGGGAAUCUUAGACAAUGGGCGAAAGCCUGAUCUAGCGAUGCCGCGUGUGUGAUGAAGGUCUUAGGAUCGUAAAGCACUUUCGCCAGGGAUGAUAAUGACAGUACCUGGUAAAGAAACCCCGGCUAACUCCGUGCCAGCAGCCGCGGUAAUACGGAGGGGGUUAGCGUUGUUCGGAAUUACUGGGCGUAAAGCGCACGUAGGCGGACUAUUAAGUCAGGGGUGAAAUCCCGGGGCUCAACCCCGGAACUGCCCUUGAUACUGGUAGUCUUGAGUUCGAGAGAGGUGAGUGGAAUUCCGAGUGUAGAGGUGAAAUUCGUAGAUAUUCGGAGGAACACCAGUGGCGAAGGCGGCUCACUGGCUCGAUACUGACGCUGAGGUGCGAAAGUGUGGGGAGCAAACAGGAUUAGAUACCCCCGUAGUCC